rnacentral:misc_RNA from 1 species
AACCAUUCUCACCUGCGGCUAGACCUGCGGAGGGAUCAUUAUCGUAUCACAGGAGACACUAGGGGCCGUCGCUGACGCAAGUCGUGCACGCCUUUAGUGUUCUCUCAAUACAUCCAUAUCACCCCUGUGCAUCAUCGCGUGGGUCGUCGAAUGCCUCACAGUGUCGACGGCUUGCGUCUUUAUACAAACCCCUUUAAAUGUAUUAGAAUGUCUACUUUGCGAUAUAACGCAAUCAAUACA